AUUGAACGCUGGCGGCAGGCCUAACACAUGCAAGUCGAGCGAGCGGCGGACGGGUGAGUAAUGUAUGGGGACUGCCCGAUAGAGGGGGAUAACUACUGGAAACGGUGGCUAAUACCGCAUACUAUCGGAUAACCCAUAUGGGUUUAGCUAGUAGGUGGGGUAAAGGCUCACCAAGGCGACGACCUCUAGCUGGUCUGAGAGGAUGAUCAGCCACACUGGGACGGAGACACGGCCCAGACUCCUAGGGAGGCAGCAGUGGGGAAUAUUGGACAAUGGGGGAAAGCCUGAUGCAGCCAGGCCGCGGGGAGGAAGAAGGCCUUAGGGUUGUAAAGUACUUUCAGCGGGGAGGCGUUACCGGAAGAAGAAGCACCGGCUAACUCCGUGCCAGCAGCCGCGGUAAUAC
rnacentral:rRNA from 1 species